ensembl:lncRNA IRF1-AS1 IRF1 antisense RNA 1
GCGGCCGCCAGCCUGGAGCGCGGGCCCUGGGGCCGCAACCCGCGCCGGGCGAGGUGGCAGCACACCCUGGGCCCCCCACUCCCCGCCGCAAGUCCUGAGGAUGGCCAGCAGAGAAACAAGAAAAUGGACUCCCUGGCUGCUGGAGAGUUGAAUGCCAGCCACCAGCCAUGGGUGCCAGAGUUUGUAGCCUAUUGGAGGAAAACACACCAAGCCCCGAACAGCACAGUGAAUGGAUAGGGCAGCAGAUGAGCUCUGCCCCACGCCGGCCCUGUUUCAGAACAGCACUCCAGAGUGCCGCACUGCUUGCUGAACCACAGCUGUUACUGCAGAUUGAGGAGCCUCAGAGGGAACAGAAGAUAAAGAUCAUUAUGGAAUUUAGGAUUGCAGGACAUUCUUUGACAUUUCAUAACAGCCAGGGGAGAUCAACUGUGGUCAGGGGACAGGGGCAGGAAGAAACCAUGGCCAAGGCCUGUCUGGCAGGACUUGAAGGGGCAGAGGGACCCUUGCAAAUGACCCUGCCUGGAACCCACCCCCAGUUGGCCCCUGUAUAGCACUGAUCCAGCUGGGGCUUUUAUCCCAGGAUACCCUCUUCAGGGAUGCCUGUAUUUGUUGAUUAUCUGCCAUAUGCCUGGUCACUGCAGAAUACAAGGAAGAAAAUAGCCUUCAGCAGAAGCUGAGACAGGAGCCUAGAGGAUGGACAGUAAGGAGUCGAAGGCUCAGGAUGAGGCUUUCCUGACUUUCUCCCCUAGAGGACUGAUGUUCUCUACUGGUACAGACCUUGUUUUAUUCAUCCUUAUGUCCCUAACCUGGAAUGGGCCCAGGGUGACAGUUAUAAUAAGUGUUUGUCAAGUGAGCAAGUGUGUGGAGUGUGCAUUGUAGAGAGUAAGGUCUCUACAGGAUCCUGCUGGAGAGGCAGCCCACUGGGCUCACCACUUCUCCAGAGGAGGGACUGGUCCCUUGCCAGACAGCCCUGCCAGCUGGAGCAGGCUUCCUCAGGGGUGCCUGGAGCUGUUGACCAUGGCUGUUGCCCUCUGGCCCCUCUUGGGAAGAGCAACCUGUCAGGUGUUAAAGACGGUCUUCAUUUCUCUUCUCCAAGUAAACAUGACUAGUUUCCAUCUCACCAUCUUCUGGCCCUCAGCAGACUGGUUAUCCAGUCUGGAGAGGCAACAGUAGUAUCCAGAUGUGAUCCGAACAGACAGAACGAUGGAUGCAGACGGAAAAUUCAGAUCACCUCUGCAGCCUGCACAGCCGGGCCUUUGGACUCCUGGAUGCUAGAGUGACCUGGGCGCUGAGGAGGGCCCCCGAGCCAGUACCAGGAAAGGAUAGACUCCUGCUUGCAGCAUUCCCAGCAGAGGCAUCGCCUGUGGACACCGCGUCUGUGUCUGUAUAUGGCAGAGCUCCCAGAUAUAUGCACAAGGGAGUGAAAAAAUGUGUUUGCACCCCAGUCUCUAAAAAUUCAACAGCCUGGUUACUUCUGGGUGGUAUAUCGUAGGUGGCUUUAAUACGUGUUAUUUGCUCAUCUGUAUUUCUUACUCUUUGCACAAUUAAACCAUGUUCCUUUUACUUAUGU